AACCGGAUUAGAUACCCUGGUAGUCCACGCUGUAAACGAUGUCGAUUUGGAGGUUGUGCCCUUGAGGCGUGGCUUCCGGAGCUAACGCGUUAAAUCGACCGCCUGGGGAGUACGGCCGCAAGGUUAAAACUCAAAUGAAUUGACGGGGGCCCGCACAAGCGGUGGAGCAUGUGGUUUAAUUCGAUGCAACGCGAAGAACCUUACCUACUCUUGACAUCCAGAGAACUUAGCAGAGAUGCUUUGGUGCCUUCGGGAACUCUGAGACAGGUGCUGCAUGGCUGUCGUCAGCUCGUGUUGUGAAAUGUUGGGUUAAGUCCCGCAACGAGCGCAACCCUUAUCCUUUGUUGCCAGCGGUUCGGCCGGGAACUCAAAGGAGACUGCCAGUGAUAAACUGGAGGAAGGUGGGGAUGACGUCAAGUCAUCAUGGCCCUUACGAGUAGGGCUACACACGUGCUACAAUGGCGUAUACAAAGAGAAGCGACCUCGCGAGAGCAAGCGGACCUCAUAAAGUACGUCGUAGUCCUGGAUUGGAGUCUGCAACUCGACUCCAUGA
rnacentral:rRNA from 1 species